AGCAUUGCCAACUUAUCGGUUACUUUGCAAUGAUGAUGAGAUAUCAAUCAAACCAAUGCAGCCACUUUAACGCUUAUUAUUUUCUUAAAAAAUUAUUAAAUAAGGAUUAAAGCAAUUGAAAGAAAAAAAAGAGAGAAACAUAACAACAGUAACUCUUCAUCACCCAAACUCUAUCUCUUCCUCUCGUUGAUUUCUCUUUGCCCUUGUCAGAGAAAGGCGGUCGGCGGCGCCAUCGUCCCCUAUGGUGAUUCCCUACCUCAAAACUUUACUUUCCCAAAAUAAACCCCCCUUAUAUUUUCAUGUUUGUUAUGAAUUUGAACUCCAUUUUAUCAAAAUCUCAACCUAAAAGGAGAUCGUCCCUCUCAGAAAUCACAACACAAUUAAAAGAAAAAGCAACUAACAACAACAUUCAAAAGACAAGCUUACGGAUUUCGACACGUAAAAGGGAUUGAAGAUAAAACAACAAAGAUUAACGAAGGAGUAAAGAAAUACCUAGAUUCAGGUAAGAAAUUUUCGCCCUCUAAAUCUUGUUUUCUGUUUGGAUCUUCCUCUCUCUGUAUUUGUUGGUUUAUGUUCGUGUUGUUAAAAAAUAUUGCUGCAAUAUUUAGAGUUUGAAUAUUUCUAUAUUUGCUUAAUAAAUUUUUGUGUUUGGACUUAAAUCUGGGAGAUAAAUUUGAGUUUCUGACUGAUAGAGAAAAUAUUAUAUCAGAUUUACUUGGAAAUUUCUUUGGUUUGGUGGUUUGAAGAAAAAAAAAAUAUUUCAGUUUUUCUUCAAAUUCUCUCUGUUUUGAAAUUUGAAAAUGAAAAAUCUCCCCCUCAUACUUUCUGCUACUUGUUAUUUAUAUUCAAGAAAAUAAAUUAGGAUUGUUUGAAUAUAAAAACAUCUUUUGUUUUGGUUCAAUUUUAUUUCUGGUGAAGUUCCUGCUUAAUUGCUCAUCCUAUGUUUCUCUGCUAAAACCUUUUUGCUCUUUUUACUCUUGACUUUUUGAAAUAUGUUUUGCUUAGAAAAAUAUGUUAACGACACUAUUCUGCAACUACUGUAGCAAUAAGACAAAAACCUGUCCAAACCAAAGAGAGCAGAGUUCUGGUUGUGUAGAGGAAAAAAAAGACAAACAAGCUCUUAGUCAUUGUGUAACUAAUACACUUGAAGAGCCCCUUUGAUUUUGUAAUGGUUACUACAAAAAAAAUGUAAAUUAUGUGUAAUAGAGGCUUUGUGGUGUAAUAUAAAUCCCUAUCUUUUUUUUAAAGUUUUUUUUAUGAUGUAAAAAGAAAAUAAUCUAAAGUGUAAAUAAAAUUUUAAUUUUAAAAAAAAUAAAAAUAAAUAAAAUAAUAAUAAAAAAAUAUAAUUAUAAAUAUGACAAGAAACUUCUUUUUUUUAAAUGAAAGAAACAAAUUUAAAUUCUACAUUUUUUUAGAAAUUUACUUCAAUUUAAAAAUAUAAAAUAAAUUUGAUUUAUAUUAUGACCUAUUUUUAAAAACACACAUAAAAAUCUUUAAUAAGAUAUAAUAAACAAGAAAUUAACAAAACAAAAAAACCAAUUAAGACUUAAUUUAUUUUUGAAAAGGAAUGUAAAAAUGAAAAUCCAAAACUAAACCUUUAAUGCAAAAUGCAAAUUAAAUUUCUAAUCAUCCAUAUGCAAUGUAAGACAAAUGAUUAUGUAGUAUAUGUAUGGAUGAAUGGAAUAGCGAUGUAGUUCAAAUCGAUUAAAAUCAACUUAUAAAAAUCAAAACAAAGACCUUAAGUUAUCAAAUUAACAAUGGUUGAGUGAAUUUCCACACCAAAUGUCGGCUAUGGAUGUGUAAUGAAUGGAGGUAUGUACGAAUUGGUCAAAUUGAAUAAAUCGAUCAAAGUGAACAUUAAUCAUGACUUAUGUAUGCGAAAUGAAAUCUUUACAACCAGAUGAAACAAUCAUAAGGAAUCAGUUCGAAUGAUGAGAUGCAGAUGAAUGAAAUGACUGCAUAAAGAUGGUAUGUGAGUGAAUGACUUAGUUGCAGAUGAAUGAAUGUCAAUGGGUAAAUGCAUAUGAAUGACUUUAGGUGGGACAAAAUUUAGGGUAUGACAUUAUGCAAUCUUGAAAAUUGAUUCCAAUUUUUUUCUUCUUUGAUCUUUCUUCAUUGAUUAGCUUUUGUCUUCACCAAAACUAAGCUAAGAUAGAUGAUGAACAUCUUCUUCACAGUGAAUAUCAGUGGAGGUAUUAUCCUUCCAAAUAAAGUUACGAGUUAUACGAUUAAUUGUGUCACAAAUAUUUUGAGGGAUCCAAGUGGCUUUCACGUAGUAAGAGGGAAUAGACGAUAAAGAUGAAGUAGCAAGAGCUAAUAUACCAUGCUUGUUGAGAGGCUUGUUUUUCUAGGAAGCCAUGCGAGUUUUCAUUUUCUCCAAGAUGAAAUUAUAGAACGAUCUUUUAGCCCUACCUUUGAGGAUAGGAAAACCAGUCUGUUUUUCUAAGGAAGUGGUACACCGAAUCCUGGAGAUAGAUGUUUGUUGGUUGAUUUUAGCUUGAGUAAUUCUAGAAGAAUAAAAAACACGGGACUUAGAUAGAUUAAUCUCCGACCCUAAUGCCCGACUAAAGUUGUCCAAAAAGGUGGCAAUAACUCUGAUUUGUGACUUCUUUGUCUUUGAAAAAAGGAAAACAUCAUAUGAAAAUAGAAUAUGAGACAGAUGAGGACCAUUUCUAGAGAUACAUAUAGGAAUCCAAGAACCACUACGAACAACAUAAUUGGUAGCAAUAGAAAGCUUAUCCAUGCGUAUAAUGAGAUGGUAAGGAGAUAAUAGAUCCCCUUGUCAAAGAUCAUGAGAAGGCUUGAAAGUUGGCAUUUUAAUCUCAUUCCAUAAAAUAGAUACAAAUUAGGAUGUGAUGUAAUGCAUAAUAAGUCAGAUGGUUAUCUGAGGGAAACCAAAGUCUAACAAGCAUCUUUUAAGAAACUCCCAGUUCACGUUGUCAAAUGCCUUUUCUAGAUCCAACAUGAAGGUAACAUCACCUUUAUUCUUCUUCGUUAUGUGCAAGUAGUGUAUAAUUUCCUACAAAAUAAUAGCAUUGUCAGUGGUUCCCCUUGUAAGACCCAAUUUUGACCCUAAGAUCCCUCAUACCAUCUCAUCAUUUGCAUUGGCUUUGGGAUCACAUCUUGGUAUCAUUUUCACCCCUCAUUCAUUGAGUUUGCAUUGGGAGAGAUCACCAAGCAUAUUUGUUUGUAUAAUACUUUAUUUUUAUUUGUUUACUAACUAAAAUACCAAAAAAUAUGUCUAGUGUAACUUUGUUUCUUUUGUAGGUAGUGUGUUUGUCCACCUGUGCCUCAUCAAGCUCAUAUCUAGGGUUUGAGACCCUCAAUGCAAGAGAUCACUCAAGGAAAGGUUAACAUUGCUUCUAAACAUCAUAAAUGGAUCCCCGUGUUCUUUAUUUGUCAUUUGAUCAAGAAUUCAUCAAGAUUUUGAAGCUUAUUUGCCUGGGAAGCCCUAAUUCAUCUAGGUAUCUUGUGUGACUUUCUCAACAAGUUUCUUUAACAAUUGAUAAAAUAUUUUAUGGGAUACUUCAUUUAAACUCAUCUUAAUCAUAUAUGAUUCUCCAUGAGCCCCAAAGAUCAAAAUAACUUCAAGUUUGCAAGUUGGUUCAAGGAGGUUGACUAGAGAAGUCAACUGGUCAAAUCUAGGGUUUCCUAUAUGAAAAUUAUUCCAAGAUCCAAGUUACUCUUUAUCACAUUCCAAACAACUUUCAUGUUGGCAGCAAAAGCUAAUUUUUCUUGUAAAGUCAUUUUUUACGGUGAAAAAUUAUAGGUCAUUUUGUUUGUGCCCUAGAUGGAAGGUCAACUUCCAAGGACCAUAACCUGCUCAAUUUUUAUGAUAUGAAGGUCAUCCAAGUUUCAUGAUUAAUUUAAAGAUGUGUUCUCCAAUUUUUCUUCUUUGAGAAAGGUCAAAAUUCACUUGCAAGGGCAUGUACCAAGAGGAAACAUUAUAGGUCAUUUUGGGCCAUCAUCAUUGAACAAGCAAUUUUCCUCAAAUUCGAAAAUCCAUAACUCCCUCAUGAAAGAUUCAAAUGGUGUCAAAUAUGUGACCAAAUUGAAUAAUAUUGAAAUAUCUACAAAUUUGAAUAAGUAAGUAAAGUCAUUUGAAGCUCAUAGCAAAAGUUAUUCAAGGUGGAAAAAGUGGUCAUUUGACUUUUAACUUCGAAAACUUUCAACCAUGUUUAAUUAUUCCAAAUUCCACACCAAUCUUCAUCAUGAUCCAAGCUCCAAAUGGAAAAC
rnacentral:lncRNA from 1 species